rnacentral:rRNA from 1 species
UACGGGGGGGGCAAGCGUUGUUCGGAAUUACUGGGUGUAAAGGGUUCGUAGGCGGUGCGGCAAGUUGGGAGUGAAAUCUCUGGGCUUAACCCAGAGGCUGCUUCCAAAACUGCUGUGCUUGAGUGUGGGAGAGGCGCGGUGGAAUUGCAGGUGUAGCGGUGAAAUGCGCAGAUAUCAGGAGGAACACCAGUGGCGAAGGCGGCACUCUGGGCCGGUACUGACGCUGAGGAGCGAAAGCGUGGGGAGCGAACAGG